AUGGACGUUUACGCACACCACGUAAAAUACGUCACAUUUUAUUGGAAACAUGUCGGCAUCUGAGAAAACGUCCAAGGAGUUGUCUGAAAGUGAUGCAUUGGAACCUGAUCCUGAAGUGAGACUCUCAAGCCAGUCGGAUGAAGGUGAUGCAAGUACCAACACAGCAGUGGUUACCAAGGAGACCGAGCCCAUGGGUGGGAGGCUGUCACAGUCGCUAUUUCAGGAGAUUCAGGGAGAUGGUUCGAAAGACGGGGAGGAGAGCGAACGACUAUCAACAACAUCCUCUUCUGUGUCAGUCAGAACCCUCGCAGGACAUGCAGCGAAGAGCCUUCCAUCCACAUCUUCCUCUUCAAUCUCCUCCUCCACUUCCUCUCCUUCUGGCAGAGCAAAGAUGAGUGUUUUUGGUCCUGGAAGUAAAGCUCUCCUGCCACCUCCCUCAUCCUCCUCUCCGCCUCCUGUCCCUGGCCAGACAGUAAAGAUACACCGUGCUCGCAAGACUAUGAACAGACCUCCCCCAACACAGAUGAGGUGCAUCGAGUCACCAAUCGUGCCAGUCAACCCCACAGACCCCACGACCAGCUUCGCGACAGACAGUGAUACUGCAGCAAAAAGGAGAAGGUUGGUCCAGGCAGAGAGCGCUAUAGGCACAGAGCAGAAGCCAGAUCAUGUACUCCGAGAGGCGGCGAGACGGCGUGACAGUUGGCUGGAGGAUGCAGAUGAGAACGAGUUUCUUCUCUAUAACCCCUAUGCAAGAGAUGAUACGGACCCAGCCUACUCCGACUGCAAGUCUGAAGAUGGUGGACUAGAGGAAAGGCUACAUGAAAGAGAUGCAGAUGCAUCUGGUAACAUGUCAGAUCAUAGCUCAGAAUCGGACCCACAGAGGCAGGGCCAGAGGAACGAAGGGAGCAGUGAUUCGCCAUGGACUCGCCCCGGGCGAGGCAAAGGGAGAGAGAGAGCCGAAGGAGUAGAGGCAGGAAGAGCAGUGUUGGCAGCAGCUACUUUUGGUGGGUCCUGCGAGUACACAGAGGUUGCCUUGGGCUCCCUGGACAUCGCGGCAACAGACAACCUAACACUCUCACCUCACCACGAAGGCAGUGACACUGGGGAGACGGAGCGUCUGGAGGAGCUGCCUCUGUGUAGCUGCAGGAUGGAGGCACCACGCGUAGACAGCGCCAGCAGACGGCCCAACAGACUCUGCAUGGCCACAGAGAGCGUGAACGGAGAGCUGGUGGGCUGUACCAAUAUCAUUCAGAAGGGGGAGACCAUGCGGCCGUCCAGUCGGGUUUCCCUCAUUGUGCUGUGCGAAAGCCAUCGGUCACAUAUGGUCAAACAUCACUGCUGCCCUGGAUGUGGAUACUUCUGUAUCGCAGGCACCUUCCUAGAGUGCUGUCCGGACCAGCGCAUCGCCCACCGCUUUCACCGGGGCUGUGUGACAGUGCUGGGGGCUGGAAGGGGCAGGGGCAUGGGCACAGGCAUGCUCUUCUGCCCCCACUGUGGCGAGGAUGCCUCGGAGGCCCAAGAGGUCACCAUCCCCCCCUCAGCAUCCGCGGCCACUGUGGUCACCACUUCCGCCUCGUCCACCACCACACUGUCCCUCCCACCCCCUAUCCCCUCUGACCUCUCCCUGGCGGCCUCCACGUGGCCGCUGAAGAACGGGAAGGGGCCAGUGGGUCCUAUCAGUGCGAGGAUGCGUGGGGUGGUAAAGAGAGACCAGGAUCAGCGCCCCCCCAAAGCCGCUCUGGCAGCAGGGACUGUCAACGCAGCCCCCCCAGGCGAGGGGGGAGUGGACAGUGUGGGACCCUCCCUCUGUCUGCCCAAUGGGAAGCCAGUCUGUCCCAGUGCACUUCCCCCCGGGCCCAGUAGGGCGGCGCUGCAGAAAGCCAUUCUCACCCAGGACUCUGAGAAGAGGAAGAAGCUGAGGUUCCACCCCCGCCAGCUCUAUCCAGCUGCCAAGCAGGGCGAGGUGCAGAGGGUUCUGCUCAUGCUCAUGGAGGGCAUAGACCCAGCCUACCAGGCUGACUCCCAGAACAGACGCUGUGCUCUCCACGUUGCCGCCCAGAGAGGCCUGCUGGAGGUCUGCUACAUGCUGGUGCAGGCAGGUGCUAAACUGGACAUCCAAGACAAAUCCAUGAGGACCCCUCUCCUGGAGGCCAUCGUCAACAACCAUGUGGAGGUGACCAGGUACCUGGUCCAGAGUGGAGCCUGCGUCUAUCACACUGAAGAAGAUGGCUACACUGGUCUCCACCACGCGGCCAAACUGGGCAGUCUGGACAUUGUCACCCUUUUGUUGGAGACGGGACAGGUGGACAUCAACGCACAGGAUAGUGGAGGCUGGACUCCUAUCAUCUGGGCUGCAGAGCACAAGCACAUCAAGGUCAUCAGAGCACUGCUUAACAGGGGGGCUGACGUCACCCUCAAAGACAAGGAGAUGAACGCGUGUCUCCACUGGGCGUCCUUCGCAGGCUGUGUGACGAUAGCAGAGAUGGUGCUGAAUGCCGGCUGCCCGUUGUCUUCUGUCAACAUGCACGGGGACACUCCCCURCACAUCGCUUCCAGGGAGGGCUUCCUCGAUUGUGUAACGCUCUUCCUCUCUAGGGGGGCAGACAUCGACAUCAUGAACAGGGAAGGGGACACCCCUCUUUCUCUGGCGCGUUCCGAUUCGCCCGUCUGGGUGUCACUCCAGAUAAACAGGAAGCUGCGGCGGGGGAUAGCCAAUCGUAUGCUUCGUACAGAGAAGAUCAUCAGCAGUGACGUAGCCCARGGGUAUGAGAACGUGCCUAUCCCCUGUGUGAACGCAGUGGAUGAUGAGGGAUGUCCCUCAGACUACAAGUACGUUUCYGAGAACUGUGAGACUUCAGCCAUGAACAUCGACCGCAACAUCACRCACUUACAGCACUGCAGCUGCACAGAGGACUGCUCYUCCAGCAACUGUCUGUGUGGACAGCUCAGUAUCCGCUGCUGGUACGACAAGGACCACCGGUUGCUCCAGGAGUUCAAUAAGAUUGAACCGCCUCUCAUAUUUGAAUGUAACCUGGCUUGCUCCUGCUACCGCACCUGCAAGAACAGAGUGGUGCAGGCGGGAAUCAAGGUGCGUCUCCAGUUGUACCGAACAGAGAAGAUGGGAUGGGGAGUWCGGGCUCUACAGGACAUUCCCCAAGGCAGCUUCAUCUGCGAAUACGUAGGAGAACUGAUCUCUGACGCAGAGGCAGAUGUAAGGGAAGAUGACUCCUACCUCUUUGACCUGGACAACAAGGACGGGGAGGUGUACUGCAUCGAUGCCCGUUACUACGGUAACAUCAGCCGCUUCAUCAACCACCUGUGCGACCCCAACAUCAUCCCGGUGCGGGUGUUCAUGCUGCACCAGGACCUGCGCUUCCCCCGCAUCGCCUUCUUCAGCUCCCGAGACAUACUGACAGGACAGGAGCUUGGGUUUGAUUAUGGAGACCGCUUCUGGGACAUCAAGAGUAAAUACUUCACCUGCCAGUGUGGAUCAGAGAAAUGCAAACACUCAGCGGAGGCCAUCGCCUUGGAGCAGAGCAGGCUCGCUCGACUGGAGACCUGCCCAGAAUUGGAUACUGACCCUGGGCUUGCCAUGCUAGGAAACUUCUAGGCAUCCCCUGCGGCCUGGUGCAUGUAUUUCUCMGUUUCUACACUCACUCUUACAUUUCGUAUAUGUUUUUGUGCAGUUAUUGUUUGUGUGGUAGACGAGCCUUAACUUUUUCCAUGUAUCUGAUAUAAAUGACUGAAAAAGGUGUCUUCUGUGUAAGACCAUACAUACAGUACAGUAUUUUUUUUUACUAUAAUAUUGCUAUGCCUCUUUGCCAUGAGACAUCAGUGGCACUACAGCAUACUAUGAAAUGCCAGUUAUGCUCACCACAUGCUGUGCCAAAUACAUACUGAACAAUUUAUUUCACAGUACUCUAYCAUGAUACUGUCUACUUGUUAAUUAAUUGAAAAAGUUACCGACAGCUGACUUCCGAGUAGUAUUGAAGUCUGUUUUUAUACAAAAUGUACUUUGUUUUGUCAUUUAAUACAUUUGAUUAAAAUUUUACAAAUGGAUCCACUGUCA